rnacentral:rRNA from 1 species
CGCAGCCGCGGUAAUUCCAGCUCCAAUAGCGUAUAUUAAAGUUGUUGCAGUUAAAAAGCUCGUAGUUGAAUUUCGGGAUCAAUAUAUCGGUCGUGCCCCUGUACGUACUGGUAUCAUUGGUUUCUCCUUUCUGACGAACAAUGAUGUCAUUAAUUUGGUGUUAUAGGGAGUUAGGACUGUUACUUUGAAAAAAUUAGAGUGUUUAAAGCAGGCAUUAGCUUGAGUACAUUAGCAUGGAAUAAUGAAAUAGGACGUUUGACCUUAUUUUGUUGGUUUCUAGGAUCGACGUAAUGAUUAAUAGGGAUAGUUGGGGGCAUUAGUAUUCAAUUGUCAGAGGUGAAAUUCUUGGAUUUAUUGAAGACUAACUACUGCGAAAGCAUUUGCCAAGGAUGUUUUCAUUAAUCAAGAACGAAAGUUAGGGGAUCGAAGACAAUCAGAUACCGUCGUAGUCUUAACCAUAAACUAUGCCGACUAGGGAUCGGAUGAUGUUAAUUUUUUAAUGACUCAUUCGGCGCCUUAC